GACGAACGCUGGCGGCGUGCUUAAUACAUGCAAGUCGAGCGGUGAACCCGACUGAAAGCCUUCGGGCUUGACGUUGGGGGAUCAGCGGCGAACGGGUGAGUAACACGUGGGUAACCUGCCUGGAAGACAGGGAUAACGAUUCGAAAGGGUCGCUAAUACCUGAUAAUAUCCUUUCAUCGCAUGGUGAUAGGAAGAAAGGGGAAACCCGCUUUCAGAUGGGCCCGCGUCCCAUCAGCUAGUUGGUAAGGUAAAGGCUUACCAAGGCGACGACGGGUAGCCGGUCUGAGAGGAUGUACGGCCACACUGGGACUGAGAUACGGCCCAGACUCCUACGGGAGGCAGCAGUUGGGAAUCUUAGGCAAUGGACGAAAGUCUGACCUAGCGACGCCGCGUGAGGGAAGAAGGCCUUCGGGUUGUAAACCUCUGUCAUGGGGGAAGAAGUAAGUGACGGUACCCCAAGAGGAAGCCCCUGCUAACUACGUG
rnacentral:rRNA from 1 species